GCCUUUUGCAGCCUCCGUUUUGCAACUGGCCCCCUGGCUCCCACCUUUAUGAACUCUUAACCUGUCUCUUCUCAAUCCUUUGUCGCCACCGGACUUCGGGUACCCUACGGGUGGUGUUGAGGCUGGUCCCCAACACAGCAGCAGUUGGGAUCUGGAAGUCAGCCCCAGGAAGCAGCCAACAAACAGAUUAGUGGAGCAUUGCCAGGGAAGUCCCAGAAAGAGCUGAGCGACACUUUGAUGGAGAUAGAGGAGCAGAGCUUCUGUGAGCUGUCAUCAGUGGAGAGCUCUGGCCACAGCCCAUACUAUCUUGGUGUCCUUGGGAAGUAAAGAAGGGCUGAGCUUCUUUCUGGAGCUUUUUGGAACAAGAAGAACUCAAGGUGCAACAGUUACAACAUGCUGUCAUGGGCUGGCAGGGGCACUCUACUUAUGAUAGUCUCUCAAGGAUCCAGUCUGGCAGAAUGAUAAAGGUCUCUAAGCCAGAGGGAAUAAAGUGCUCUGCAGGACCUCUCACUGGAAAGGCCACUUUGUUUUCCCUCUUCUGGGACCCAGGCUGAUGGAGAAGCCAGCAUCUUGAACAUUACAGUUGCUAUGUAGAGCGGAAAAAAAUCAAGUGGCAAAGUAUGCCAGUUCUUAAGUCUGUCACCUGGGAGUGACAUGCAUCACUUCUGCUCACAUUUUAUUGGCUAAAGCAGGUCAUGUAGUCAAACUUCAUUUCAAGUGGGCCACAGGGUGCAGGUAGCAGAAUGCAGUUAGAGUGCAUAGAAAGCUGCAAUCUUUGUGGACAGAAUGAGCGACCAUAGCAUGGUAUUGCAUUUUGGUGAGCACGUGCUGCACAAACAGAAAGUAGAAAGUGAGAUUAAACUGUAAAGACCACUGAUUAUUCUGGUAAGUGGGCUAAGUCUAAAGUAACAUAUUAUUAUAAUUAAAUAAUGUAAUAAUGUAAUGGGACUGCCUCGAAGGUUUUGCAUAGGAAAAUGCCUUUGGCUGUCCCAUUGGGGAGGAAAUUGGAAGAAGAUUCAAGUCCUCAUAUUAGAGAAAUAGCUGGCUAAAUGAAUAGAUUCCUGAAAGUUGGUUGUUCCAUGGGAUUUAUGCCAAAGACUAAAGAAUUUUGAUGUUUCUUUGUGUUAUUCAGACCUUUACAUGAUUUAUAAAAACUUCACAGGGCUGAAAGAGAAGAUAUCCUUUCAGAUAUUAUUUGGGUUAAUGAGGAAAUUGGACAUGGCCUUAGGAUGAAAUGAAGGGCAGGCACAGAUUGGGUCAGUUGAUUAUUCUGUGCUGAGCUAGCACAGAAUUAAGUCAGUAAUUUAAAAACAUAAAUGAAUGAAUGUCAGAGUUCCAUUCGUUUUAGGCUUCUGAUUGUGGAGGAAAUCAUAUGCCAGAGCUUUGGUAAAUGCAUGAACUCUACACACCAUAUUGGAGAGAACUGACAUUUUAAUAAUAUUGAUUCUUCUCAUCCAUGAACAUGCAACAUCCUUUCAAUUACUAGGUCUUUGUUGUAGCCUCUUUCCGAGAUGUCUCUCAGCAGCCUUAGCCUCCUGAAAUUUACACCCUGUGUAAAUUUGGUGCAAUCUCUACCACAUUGACUCAGAGCUGGUCUGUGUGACCAAUCAAGUAUGGAUGAUGACGAUGUGUGACUUCUGGGGCUAGGUCAUAAAAGGCAUUGCAGCUUCCUUUGUGGCUUCUUGGAUCAUUUCUCUGAAGGAAGCCAACCACAAUGUUUCAUAGUCACUCAAACAGUCAUAUGGAGAGGCCCAUCUCCCAGCUCAAGUAAAACUUUCAGAUGGCUGCAGUCUGGACCAAAAAAUCUUGACUGCAACCUCAUGAGAGACCCCAAGCCAGAACCACUCAGUUAGAGCACUCCUGAAUUUCUGACCUGUUUAUUCUUAUUUUAAGCAACUAAGUUUUAGGGUAAUGUGUUAUGCAGCAAUGGACAACUAAUAUAAUAUUUUAAUUCGUAUCAAUAAAUGUUUCAUAAUUUUGUGCACAGAAAACUUGUACUUUUAAAAUUAAUUAGAUUUUUAUUAGAUUUAUUUCUAGGUAUUUGAUGUUUUUUGAUGCAUCUAUAAAUUUUAUACUUUAAAUUUUAUUAAUACUUUGUAUCUUGUAUACAGUAAAACAAUAGAUUUUUAUAUAAUGACUUUUAUCCAACAACAUUAACUAAUUCUUAUAACUUUUAUUAAUUUAUGUGUAGAUAAAAGAGUUGUUUUAAGACACUGAUAAGUUUGUUAAUUUUAGUAGUUUAUCUGUAGAUUUUCUUGGGUUUUCUAUGAAUACAAUAAUGUCAUCUGCAAAUAAUGACAGUGUUGUGUCUUUCUAAUUCAUAUGGCUUUUAUUUUUAAUUCUUGCUUUAUUUUUAUUUAUUUGUAUAAGCUUUUUAGUUGUUCCCAAUGCAAGGCCUGGUCUAUACCAAAUUAGUCCACUAUUAUUGAAAGUUGAGGCCAGGAUCAGUGGCUCAUGCCUGUAAUUCCUAGCACUUUGGAAGGCCAAGGAGGGUGAAUUGCCUGAGGUAGGAGUUUGAGACCAGCCUGACCAACAUGGAGAAACCCUGUGUCUACUAAAAAUACAAAAUUAGCAGGGCAUGAUGGUGUGCAUCUGUAAUCCCAGCUACUUGGGAGGCUGAGGCAGGAGAAUCACUUGAACCCAGGAGGCAGAGGUUGUGGUGAACUGAGAUCACGCCAUUGCACCCCAGCCUGGGCAACAAGAGCAAAACUCUGUCUCCAAAAAAAAAAAAAAAAAAAAAAAAGAAAGUUGAAAUCCUCUGCAAGGUUUUCAGCAGGUGACACAAUAUGUUGUCAUUUUAAGGCUCACUCUGGCUGCUGUGUUGAGGAUUAAACAGAAGAAAUAAGCUUUUGAGAUCUAUUGCAUAGCAUGAUGUCUAUAGUUAAUGUAAUGUAUAUUUCAAAAUUGCUGAGAGUAGAUUUUAAAUGUUUUCACCACAAAAAUUGGUAAGUACUGUAUGGGAGAUGAUGAAUAUGCUAAUUAACUUGAUUAAUCAUUCCAUCACGUAUGCAUAUAUCAAAACAUCACAUUGUACAUCAUAAAUAUGUAGAAUUAUUAUCUGUCAAUUAAAAGUUAAACAAGAAAAUAGAUUGGAGGCAGUGGUAGAAGCAGGCAGAUGAGUUAGUAGGCUGUUCAAUGAGACAAUAAGAGAUGAUGGUGGUAGUGGUCCCAGGUGAUAAAGGCCCGGGGGGUGGAGGGGAAAAGGCAUUGGAUUCUGAAUAUACUGAGAGUAAAACCAGUAGGAUCUACUGACCAUUUGAAAGUGGGACAUGAGAUAAAAGGAGGAAUCAAAGCAUCUUUCCAAGUUUCCUAUCUCAGCAAUCAGAUGCAUUUGCCAUCAGUUGAGAUAGGGGUGACUAUGGUUGGAGAAAGACUAAGAAUGAAGCUGGUUUGGUGAAUUUUGAAUGUUUACAUUUGAAAAAUUAUUUUAGCCUCCCCAAAUGACAAACACAUGUAACUGGGCUAUUCAUAGAAUAACUACAGAAUUUAUUUUUUUAAAAAGUAAUUCAUCAUAUACGGUAAGCAGUGUGGUUCAGUGAUAACGCAAGUUGAAAGGUGAAUAACAACCAUUUUCUCUGCUAGGGGAUGUUGGGUAUCGCUGCAAGUGUGUGCCUAACUCUGCUUGGAGAAAACACAGAUGCCUCUGUGGUCAAGAUGUCCAGCUCAAAUGGCUCUUUUGCCUCUGCCAUGACAGGCCCUAAGUACAGAGCUUAUUUGUUUAUUGAAUGCAACAACAACAGAAAAACCUUGUCAUAUCCUGCUCUGUAGAUGAAAAAGCUAGAGGCUUUUCAGGAGAAAAAAACUGCACUAAUCUUAGCAAAGAUAAUUUUCUGAAACUUUCCUUUUGUGGAUGUGGCUGUAUCCCUUAUCAGUUGUAGUCUUCACUGUGUAUGCAGUAAGGGAAAGUGAAGGACGGAAAGAGGCGUAGGCUGACUCCCAAGAUCCCAGAAAACAGUUUGUUCUUUUUAUUAGUUGUGAAGCUGAAAGCUGAAUCCUAAAACACCACAAUCCUUGAUAUUUUCACUCCUCUGAACAUGUGAGUUUAAUUCAAGAUAGGAAAUGCUUCGGGUCCUGUUAAACUUACACACUGUCUGUUGUGUUAUGAAUUGUAGGGCGCAUUUCAGAAUAAGUGGAGGGCUGAUUAUAAAUGAUCCUUUAGUGCCAGCAAAAAGGUGGUAGCUCAGGAUGCCAGGUUACUAUAAAAACACCAGGGGAAUGGGAAGAGUGAAAGGAUGCCAUGUAGAGAAGAAAUAAAUUUCUGAAAUAAUACCUGCAUGCCA